rnacentral:rRNA from 1 species
GAGACUCUGUGCGCGUGCAUAUCAAUAAGCGGAGGAAAAGAAACUAACAAGGAUUCCCUUAGUAACGGCGAGUGAAGCGGGAAGAGCUCAAAUUUGAAAUCUUCAAGGUUCUACCUUGACGAAUUGUAGUUUAUAGAAGUGUUUUCUGUUAGUAGAGUGGCAAAAGUUCUUUGGAAUAGGACAUCAUAGAGGGUGAGAAUCCCGUAUUUGGUCAUUCUUUCUAGCUUUGUGAUACACUUUCAACGAGUCGGAUUGUUUGGGAAUGCAGUCCAAAAUGGGUGGUAAAUUUCAUCUAAAGCUAAAUAUUGGCGAGAGACCGAUAGCGAACAAGUACCGUGAGGGAAAGAUGAAAAGAACUUUGAAAAGAGAGUUAAACAGUACGUGAAAUUGUCAAAAGGGAAGCGUUUGACACCAGUGUUGUUUUUCCGAAAAUCAAUUACGAAUGUUUUAUUUUUGAGGAAGUUAUGACUUCAUCGGCUUGCUCUCUUCUUUAUGAAACUUUCUUAAUGCACUUUUCGGUUAACAAGUCAACAUCAAUUUCUUUUGUUGUAAAAGGGUAUGAGGAAGGUGGCUUUCUUUUCGGAGAAAGUGUUUAUAGCCUUGUACCUCUGCAAUCGGAGAGAUUGAGGUCUGCAGCGUAGAUCCUUCGGGGUUAGAUACAUUUGUGCUAAGUUAUAGCUUUUCAUAGACAACUUGUUGACUAUGUUUUAGUCAUUGUAGCUUACUCGCUUACUGCUAAUUUUACCUACGCUUAGGAUGUUGAACUCUAUCACACACAG